UACAGAGGUCCCAAGCGUUGUUCGGAUUUACUGGGCGUAAAGGGUGCGUAGGUGGCUGGUUAAGUCUGAUGUGAAAUCUCCGAGCCUAACUCGGAAACUGCAUCGGAAACUAUCCGGCUCGAGGGUUGGAGGGGGGACUGGAAUACUUGGUGUAGCAGUGAAAUGCGUAGAUAUCAAGUGGAACACCAGUGGCGAAGGCGAGUCCCUGGACAGCUCCUGACACUGAGGCACGAAAGCUAGGGGAGCAAACAGG
rnacentral:rRNA from 1 species